GGGACGACUAACUGCAACGUAACAACUAUAAUAUCUUCCGAUUCCUAAUCAUCAAUGGCGGAGUAGUCCAACCGUUUCAUCCCCAAAUUUAUCUUCCAUACGUGUUGUUGGAUUUCGAUUUUCCGGUCAAGGUCUAGUCAGAUUCAGUCCUCGAAAUUCAUCUUUUGCAUAUCACCUCGCAUCGGAACCCUAGAUUGCUUUGUCAGUUCUGGAGUGUACUCAGGCAUCAGCUUCUAGUGGUAGAUUGCAUCUAAUCUUCGACUAUUUUGGUAUUCCACUGCAUUUCGGGAUUGUACUCAGGUCGAAUAUUAGAUUAUCUCUGUGAGCAGUCUCACUGAAUAUAUUGGCCAGCGUUCAUCUGUCUUAUUUUCACGGACAUUUUCAAGUUUUUUCAGAACCGUUGACGGUAAUAUUGUGUUUGAAGGUGGUCAAGGCAAGUCAUUACGAUCAAGGUUGUUGGGUUAUAAAACUUGUCAAUCUGAGAGAUAAAAGUCGACCAAUUAUAUCUAGUGCAUUUUAGGAAUUUAUUCCUGUUGAAGUUAUUGGUAGGGGAAGUUCAUCUCAUGAGGUAGCUGGAGCUAUAAAAUAUCUCGUGGAUCACAAGCAAAAUGUUAUAUAAUUGGAAGAAGCCUCACAUUCUUUUCUCUAAAGUGCUUGAUGGUUUUUAUAUUGCAAUAUAACUAGCAAUGAUGGAACAGCUAUCGGAGAAAAAGUUCCCUGUCAACGCAAAAGAUUAUACACUAUAUGAGGAAGUUGGAGAUGGUGUCAGUGCAACUGUGUAUCGGGCUCUGUGCAUUCCUCUUAAUGAAAUUGUUGCAAUCAAGGUUCUAGAUUUGGAGAAGUGCAACAAUGAUCUGGAUGGAAUCCGGAGAGAGGUGCAGACCAUGAUCUUGAUUGAUCAUCCAAAUGUAUU
rnacentral:misc_RNA from 1 species